AGAGUUUGAUCCUGGCUCAGAUUGAACGCUGGCGGCAUGCCUUACACAUGCAAGUCGAACGCGAAAGUGGGGGCAACCCUGCGAGUAGAGUGGCGAACGGGUGAGUAACACAUCGGAACGUACCCAGGAGUGGGGGACAACCUCGAGAAAUCGAGACUAAUACCGCAUACGUCCUGAGGGAGAAAGCGGGGGAUCUGAAAGGACCUCGCGCUCAUGGAGCGGCCGAUGUCGGAUUAGCUAGUUGGCGGGGUAAGAGCCCACCAAGGCUACGAUCCGUAGCUGGUUUGAGAGAACGACCAGCCACACUGGGACUGAGACACGGCCCAGACUCCUACGGGAGGCAGCAGUG
rnacentral:rRNA from 1 species